AUUGAACGCUGGCGGCAGGCCUAACACAUGCAAGUCGAGCGAGCGGCGGACGGGUGAGUAAUGUAUGGGGAUCUGCCCGAUAGAGGGGGAUAACUACUGGAAACGGUGGCUAAUACCGCAUACUAUCGGAUGCCCCAUAUGGGAUUAGCUAGUAGGUGGGGUAAAGGCUCACCUGGGCGACGAUCUCUAGCUGGUCUGAGAGGAUGAUCAGCCACACUGGGACUGAGACACGGCCCAGACUCCUACGGGAGGCAGCAGUGGGGAAUAUUGCACAAUUGGGGAAAUCCUGAUCCAGCCAUCCCGCGUGUGCGAUGAAGGCCUUCGGGUUGUAAAGCACUUUUGGCAGGAAAGCGGUACCUGCAGAAUAAGCACCGGCUAACUACGUGCCAGCAGCCGCGGUAAUUC
rnacentral:rRNA from 1 species